CCUACGGGAGGCAGCAGUGAGGAAUAUUGGUCAAUGGGCGCUAGCCUGAACCAGCCAAGUAGCGUGAAGGAUGACUGCCCUAUGGGUUGUAAACUUCUUUUAUAUGGGAAUAAAGUGCAGUAUGUAUACUGCUUUGCAUGUACCUUAUGAAUAAGGAUCGGCUAACUCCGUGCCAGCAGCCGCGGUAAUACGGAGGAUCCGAGCGUUAUCCGGAUUUAUUGGGUUUAAAGGGAGCGUAGGCGGGUUGUUAAGUCAGUUGUGAAAGUUUGCGGCUCAACCGUAAAAUUGCAGUUGAUACUGGCAGCCUUGAGUACAGUAGAGGUAGGCGGAAUUCGUGGUGGAGCGGUGAAAUGCUUAGAUAUCACGAAGAACUCCGAUUGCGAAGGCAGCCUGCUGGACUGUAACUGACGCUGAUGCUCGAAAGUGUGGGUAUCAAACAGGAUUAGAUACCCUAGUAGUC
rnacentral:rRNA from 1 species